AAUUCAGUUCGAUACAUCGCACUCUUACAAAGAAUAUCUCUCUUUUUUUACGAGAAAUAGAGACCUUAUAAACACCACACCCAAGGACCUAUCUCUUGAGGGACCUCCAAAGACUGUAACAAAACCAAACUGAAAGGCCUAUCUCUUGGGCGACCUCCACUGACCUUUUCAAAGAGUGGAAGUAUGGCUGACACGGCAAUGCUCCCUCCCUUGGUUACGACACAAAGAGCUUCCAGACCAGCAGCACUCGACAGGGAGCUUAUAAGGGACUCAGGGACAGCAAAGUAGGACUGCUCAAAUCUAAUGGUGGAUAUAUUCAUUAUUCAUAGACGUAGAAGGCCUCAAAAGAUUAGGGGGGGCUCAAUAGAGAAAUAAUACGAAACGAUGAUGGGGGGGGGGGCACAGCCGCAUCCCUACUGGUCAUUUCCUAAUGAUUUUUUUUAAAUAUUGGGGGUGCCCCCCUGCUAUUAUACCCUGAUAUUAUACAUCAAUACACAGUGUAUUAUGUGCUCCUAUUUGCUGAGAGGUAUCCAUGAUACCAUCCUGUGAUAAAGGUGAAGGAAAGCGAAGUAGAGUUUUACUUUAACAACACAAUAUCAUAUGCUCUGACUGAUAAAAAGGUUAUUAGAGGACAUAAGGAAUUCUAAUAACAAGAAAUGACCGCUUUUUGGCAGUACAACAUAAAAUGUAAAUAUAUGCAAAAAGUUAGUACGGCCACUCACCUGAACUGUGUUAGACUCCAGCAGUAAGACAAAGCCUUUGUGAGGGUCGGUAGGCAGGACAUUUCAAGACCUUGCAGUUGGGCUAAGGACAGGAAACUAAGCUGAGAACAGGAACAAGCAAUCUUGACAAGAAACUCCAGACCUUUGCGUACAUCCAUUCCUUAAAAGAGGUGAAGCAAAAGUAAGAGAGAUGCCAGAUAUGCAAUACUGUAUGUGCAAUUCUGGAUUAAAUGUUGUACCUACAGUGCUGUAGCGUCUACAACAGUGGUAAAUCUAUUAAAAGGCUGAUUUAGACAGCAUGAUUUAGUCAUAUGCGACUUGCCUGCAAUGCCUCUACAACUCAAGUUGUAGAGUGAAAUUAGACACAACAACUCUGUUCGGUUGUGAAAUUCACAGGGUGUGAUUCGAGCCUCAGACAUGUUGUUGGCAGGUCGCAUACAACUAAAUCUUGUUGUCUAAAUCAGCUUUUAGAAGAUCACUCUCUGGACCAAGAUAAAGUGUGCUUAAUUGAAGUUGGACAGGUGAUAGGUGGACUUUUGGUAGAGCUACCACCGUAUUCAGGCACAUACGGGGUGCGAACACACUACCCCCCCCCCCCCCACAACAGCCGAAAGACAAAGCUAUAAACCAUAAGCUAGAUCACUCUGGUAUGUCAUUAAUCCAUUAGUCAUACUUUAUUUGUAGCCAGAUCCGACAAUAACCGUCCCAUGGGGAUACUGCAAAGGAAUUAAAAAUCCCUUCUUUUGGGGGUGGUCAGAUUUUUUGUCAGAAAACUCAUUCCCUCCCCCCACCCCCCUCCCCCAGAAAAAUUUGGUCCAAUUUUUCAGCUUUAUGACGACGUACGGUGACGUCACCUAAUCAUUCGAAACAAGAAAAAAAAAUGCAAAAGGCAAAGUAAGAAAAACAUAUUAUUUGUGGAUUUACGCCGAUGUAAAUGUUUUAUAAGGUGCCAUGAAUAAAAUCUAUCUAUCU